rnacentral:rRNA from 1 species
UACGGGGGGAGCAAGCGUUGUUCGGAUUUACUGGGCGUAAAGGGCGCGUAGGCGGCGUGACAAGUCACUUGUGAAAUCUCCGGGCUUAACUCGGAACGGUCAAGUGAUACUGUCGUGCUAGAGUACAGAAGGGGCAACUGGAAUUCUCGGUGUAGCGGUGAAAUGCGUAGAUAUCGAGAGGAACACCUGCGGCGAAGGCGGGUUGCUGGGCUGAUACUGACGCUGAGGCGCGAAAGCCAGGGGAGCGAGCGGG